AAUGAACGCUGGCGGCGUGCUUAACACAUGCAAGUCGAGCGCGAAAGUAACUUCGGUUGCGAGUAGAGCGGCGAACGGGUGAGUAACACGUGGAUAACCUGCCUGGAUGUGGGGAACAACUUGGGGAAACCUGAGCUAAUGCCGCAUACGUCCGAUGAGCUACGGCGAUUCGGGGAAAGGCCGCGCAAGCGGUCGCAUUCAGAGGGAUCCGCGGCUGAUUAGCUAGUUGGUGAGGUAGUGGCUCACCAAGGCGACGAUCAGUAGCCGGCCUGAGAGGGUGAACGGCCACACUGGAACUGAGACACGGUCCAG
rnacentral:rRNA from 1 species